GGGCCCGUAGCUCAGUGGCAGAGCAUCUGACUUUUAAUCAGAGGGUCGAUGGUUCGAAUCCAUCCGGGCUCACCA
rnacentral:tRNA from 1 species